AAUACAACUUCAUAAAACAGUGUUUAAUUAGAGAGGAAGGAAAGUUACAUUUGCAGAACAGACCAAUUUGAUUAUGUUUUAAAUAGACUGAUUUUCCAGGGUGGUCAUUCUUUAUUAUAUGCAUUCAAUUGACAUUACAUUACAUUAAGUAUUUAAUUUUAGCUCUCUUGACAAAUUGGCCAAUGCCCAGUCAGCCCCGGUAGGCUCUAAUCAGAUUUCUGUUCAGCCGUGCUCAUUAUUAAUCCUCAUUACCACUCUUGGAGGAAGCCCAUGAGUGGGGUCAAAUGGAAUUCUGUCCCCUACUGAGUCCGACAACCACAUUAUCUGGAGUCAUUUCAAAAGAAUGUGAGCAUUAUCAUAAUUUAUUGGGUCCUCAGACCCAAAUUGAAACAACGAAGCCAAACAAACCUUCCUUCUUAAGCCACUUGCAUCACCAGUGUCCCUAGUCAAUAAAGGACUUGACAUUUUCCUUAUGAACCAUUCUCCUGGUCCUCUCCCUCUGCCCUGGUCUCUCACAGUCUUUGCUUUCUACAACGUGAGGCCGUUGUGUCCUCAGGCAACGCAAAGCUCAGGCAGGACAGCAAAGGCUCCAGCAGCAGAGAAACUUACAUUGGCUGGAUCCACUUCAGCAGCUCCACAAGAAGGACCAUGUCUAACUGGAAAGGACCGCUGUGAAAUGGGCUCUGGAAGCUUCUCCCCCAGGGCAAGUGAGAGUUCAUCUUUGUUCUUGAUGUUGACUUAUCUCAAAUAAGGCCAUUUGCAUGAAGGAAGAAGAAAGUAACAGGCAGAAAAAAAUUAAAGCAUCUUGCUAAGAAGAAAGAUUGCGGAUGGGAAUGCACAAGAAGAAAAACUGUACAAGAAGAUAAAAGAAUAUAUUCAGAAUGGACCUUGAUUAGUGAGUCUAUGUGUUGUUGCAACAGACCAGUAUCUACUGGAGUUGACUUGGAGAGUUAUCUGAAAAAUAAUAUGAUAACAAGAUCUGACCUGAAUCUUACACAAUUUGGCUUGUAUAAGCCACACUGAUGCCAGUUACAUAAGAUGACCAUAUAUUUUGUUGUCCAGAGAUAAACAGAGAGAAACUCUUAGCCCUUGGCCAUCAGUAAUUGCAUUACAUAUUGGGGCAGAUGUAUUUGAAUGAGGAAUUCUCCAUAUAUUGAUGAUUAAUAAAAAGCUUGGAUUUUACAAUCAUUAUGAUGUUACUCCCCUAGAGAAAUAAAAUUCAUAUAGGUUUGGUAAAAUGAAAUUUUGAGUGAGGUCUCAGUGUUCUAUCUACUUAUUCUAUUGUAUUUAGAAUCAAGCAAUGUAAAAAGUGUCAUAAUUUUCCAAAACUUAGUGAUCUCUCCUUCCCCCCAUGUUCUUCUCUCCAUUUCAAAGUUGACUUGACCUGUGACAUCAGAGACACAGAAACAGACCGUGGAAGUCCAAUGCUUCAGUGAUGUAGGGAACUUUUGAAAAGCUGGUGUCGGGGGUGUUUCAGGGUUCGCUAGAACAAAGCUGGGCCAUGGAAGGAGAGUUAUUCAACCAAACACAAGCAGGACUAGUUAUCAAGCUCUCAAACUGUACUGCCCAAGAAGAAAAUGACUGAGCAGUGCACCUUGGGUUACCCAUCAAACCAAAAAGUCUUUUAGGGUGGCUUCUGGGGACCAGGCAUUGGCUACAAAUUGUUGACUUUGGAGGGUCAUUUCACAAGUGCCAUUGAGUCCAUUCUUUGUGCUGUGUUACAUAGCUAUUUUCCAAGUUUACUGGGGAAGGGGUUGGUUAGAAAACAAAUUAAGAUUUGAGGAACUCUUCACAUUUUUCAUCAUGUGGAAUUGUAAUUUUGCUAGGAAUACUAUUUAAAAUAUUUGAAGUGAGAAAUUUCUGUGGCAAACGCAGAAAUUGAAAAAUGUGAUGGUGAUGGUGAUGGUGGGGUGGUGCUUAAAAUACAUCGAACAUAAAUAAGAUUGCUAGUUUAGGGGGUUGAUUCUGCUCUUAGAGUCUUUGGCCUGCUUAUCUUUUAGCAUUGCCCCAGAAAACAGCAAGGCAAAGGAAGUGAAAUGGAAAUUAUUAGAUAUUCCUCCUAGUUAACUGGUUCAAUUAAAAAAAAAUUGUUGGUAGACAGAAUAAAAAAUGAGGUUUUAUAGUAUUUGUCAAUUUUCAGUCACUCUAUAUUUGUCUACCUGUUAUGUCAUUUAAUGAGUUGUGGUUGUCAAUCAGGGAAAACAAAGGCCAAAUAGGAAAUUGUGAUUUGUUUAUUGCAAGUAAGGGUGAGAUGAGGACCAAGUACUGCUUUAGAUUUGUUCUAAGAUAAUAUGGAGCUUGUGGCUUUAUUAAAUGGGUUUUAUUAAUGAGAUUUUUUUUUUAUCAU